rnacentral:lncRNA from 1 species
UUCGCUUUUUAUUAUCGCGAUCCAUUGUGACAGUUUUGCAAAGGUACACUGAACCCAAAGAAAGUUUUGCAAAGGUACAGUGAACCAGAUUUUAAUUAAGUUCCAUCCAAGGGAAGUUAGAGAAAACAGAAGAUGGAAUGAAAACCGCAAAGGUGCGCUCAUGUACGUAUAUAUAGUAUGGGAUUAUAGACACACAAUAACCAAUUUGCCCGAAGGACUUAUUGGAUAAAUGAUGAUCAUCAGAUAGAAUUAAUUAACUCCUAUUACAACGUAAACGAUUCGAGAGGGCGUCCCGAUCGAGCUUCGUAUCCGGCCAAUCUCUCUUCUUCUUGUUCUGAAAUCAUCAUCCUCGUUCCGAUGACAGGUGGCGCCCACAUGACGAUGAGCCCCCCUUUGUUGUUGUUUUUAUUUUCCUCGAAAAGAGAGAGUGAACCUGACAAGAAGAAGAGUGGACGUGGGGGCGUACGAAAAAAAAGAAGAAACGAAAAAACUCUCCUGCUCUUCCUGUUGUUGUCGUUGUACGUACGUAGUGUGUACAGCACCAUGCAUGCAAGCGUUCUCUCAUGGAGGGGAGUGGAGUGGAAUUAAUGGAGCUGGGGGAGAGUAAUUU